CGCAGGAACGCAUGGGAUUAACUGUACAGCAGAUUGUGGGCGUGGGGAUUUCAAAGCCCGUGACGCAAACAGUGAGCUGGGAUCCAACUGGGGAAUCCCAGUGGCAGCUAUCCUUGGUGUGUUGCUGAUCUGCACUGUGACUGGGGAACAAUAUACAUCAGACGAUUACUUAAACAACUUGAGAGCCUGAAGACCAAGGUGAGAGAGGAACACUAUAUGACACUUGAUGAGAGGACAACAGCAACAGAUAGUGCAUAUGAACCUAUCGGCAAUGUAAUGCCCUACUACAACACAGUCGACCAUCUUCAGGAU